rnacentral:lncRNA from 1 species
GUUUUUCACAGACAAUGUAUGCGCAUACAAUGAAAAGGGUAUCAAAAUUGACAAAAUCAGGGAAAAGGGUAUACUUUUACAACAGCUAAUUUACUUGUUUAGAGUGGGAAAACCUGACAAAAUACUUGUUUGGGUAUUCUGAGAUGAAGUCUAAUUACUUGUUUAGGGUCCAUUUUGAAAGUUCAUUUACAAGCAUGGUGUCCAACUUGUAAUGACAGAGCCCCCCCCCCCCCUGUAACAGUCGGCACUCCAUAGUUUUGGGGCGCUAGCGCUUCAUAAAAACAAACCAAGCAUGCACAUAAAUGUUCGAUGAUUUACGAACAAUGCUCGCCAAGGAAGCCAUCAAACCUUGAGCUUUUCAUCAGUUUAACGAUAUGGGAACAGUAUAAGGCUGUAACUGUAACAAGAUGUGCAUCAAGUUGAAAGUAAAUCGGUCUGUCUUUGAUGUCAGCACUCAGCAGGCACAGUGUUCUUACGGCUUUUGACAAGAAUAAACGUCUACAAGAAGCAUAGACUAUACAAGCCA